UACCAGCUCUUCGAGUGGUGUGGAUGUUUAUUGGGCCUAAAGCAUCCGUAGCUGGCUGGGCAAGUCCCCUGUUAAAUCCACCGAUUCAAUCGUUGGAGUGCGGGGGAUACUGUUCGGCUAGGGGACGGGAGAGGCAGACGGUAUUUUCGGGGUAGGGGUGAAAUCCUAUAAUCCCGGGAAGACCACCAGUGGCGAAGGCUGUCUGCUAGAACGCGCCCGACGGUGAGGGAUGAAAGCUGGGGGAGCGAACCGGAUUAGAUACCCGGGUAGUCCCAGCUGUAAACGAUGCAGGCUAGGUGUUUGGGCGGCCACGUGCCGCUCUAGUGCCGCAGGGAAGCCGUUAAGCCUGCCGCCUGGGGAGUACGGCCGCAAGGCUGAAACUUAAAGGAAUUGGCGGGGGAGCACCACAAGGGGUGAAGCUUGCGGUUU
rnacentral:rRNA from 1 species